rnacentral:rRNA from 1 species
ACGGAGGAUGCGAGCGUUAUCCGGAUUUAUUGGGUUUAAAGGGUGCGUAGGUGGACUGUUUAGUCAGUGGUGAAAUGCUGAUGCUCAACGUUAGCAUUGCCGUUGAAACUGACAGUCUUGAGGGUGAUUGAGGCAGGCGGAAUGUGUGGUUGAGGGGAAAAAAACACAGAUCCCGCACAAAACCCCAAUAGCGAAGAAAGCUAACAAAGCCACAACUGACACUGAAGCACGAAAGCGUGGGGAUCAAACAG